rnacentral:rRNA from 1 species
UACGGAGGGUGCAAGCGUUAUCCGGAUUCACUGGGUUUAAAGGGUGCGUAGGUGGGCAAGUAAGUCAGUGGUGAAAUCUCCGGGCUUAACCCGGAAACUGCCAUUGAUACUAUUUGUCUUGAAUAUUGUGGAGGUAAGCGGAAUAUGUCAUGUAGCGGUGAAAUGCUUAGAUAUGACAUAGAACACCAAUUGCGAAGGCAGCUUACUACACAAUGAUUGACGCUGAGGCACGAAAGCGUGGGGAUCAAACAGG